GCAUUCCCAAUUUUAGGUGGCAGUCACAACUCAUACUAUUUGGACAGAUGGCACAGAAACCGCUGCGCCUCUUGGCUUGUGGAGAUGUUGAAGGAAAGUUUGAUAUUUUGUUCAAUAGAGUUCGAGCAAUUCAGAAGAAAAGUGGAAACUUUGAUCUGCUGUUGUGUGUAGGAAAUUUCUUUGGCUCCACCCCAGAUGCUGAAUGGGAGGAGUAUAAGACUGGCAUCAAGAAAGCUCCUAUUCAGAUAUAUGUGCUUGGUGCUAAUAACCAGGAAACAGUAAAAUAUUUCCAGGAUGCUGAUGGAUGUGAAUUAGCUGAAAACGUUACUUAUCUGGGUCGUAAAGGUAUCUUCACUGGAAGCUCGGGGCUGCAGAUUGUGUACCUCAGUGGCACAGAGUCCUUAAAUGAGCCAGUACCAGGUUAUAAUUUUAGUCCCAAGGAUGUGUCUUCUCUGAGAACGAUGCUGUGUACAACCUCCCAGUUUAAGGGCGUUGAUAUCUUGCUCACAUCCCCGUGGCCCAAGUAUGUGGGGAACUUUGGGAAUUCUUCUGGAGAAGUGGAUACCAAAAACUGUGGUUCUGCUUUGGUUUCCAGUCUUGCCAUGGGCUUGAAACCAAGAUAUCAUUUUGCUGCUUUGGAAAAGACCUAUUAUGAGAGGCUUCCAGAUCGAAACCAUAUCGUUCUACAGGAAAAUGCACAGCAUGCCACCUGGUUUAUAGCUCUGGCAAAUGUUGGAAAUCCAGAAAAGAAAAAGUUAUCUUUAUGCAUUUAGUAUUGUUCCCUUGAAGCUGAUGGAUGCAGCAGAACUGGUAAAACAGCCUCUGGAUGUCACUGAAAACCCUUACAGAAAAUCUGGGCAGGAAGCAUCCAUAGGAAAGCAAAUUCCUGUCCCUGUGGAAGAAUCAGCCUGUCAAUUUUUCUUUGAUUUAAAUGAAAAGCAGGGAAGGAAGCGUUCAUCCACAGGUAGAGAUAGCAAAUCUUCUCCUCACCCAAAGCAGCCUCGCAAACCUCCUCAGCCUCCAGGACUCUGCUGGUUUUGCCUUGCUAGCCCUGAAGUGGAAAAGCAUUUGGUGGUCAUUAUCGGCACACAUUGCUACCUCGCCCUGGCCAAAGGAGGCUUAUCUGAUGACCAUGUCCUCAUCCUGCCCAUUGGACACUACCAGUCAGUGGUGGAGCUUUCAGCAGAGGUGGCUGUCAGAAGAGGUGGAGACUCCCUGAAGGCCACCACCUGAGAUGCGUUCGUUUAAGGAUCGAGGCGCCAAUGCGUGUGUUGUAUUGCGAGAAUUAUAAGAGCCGCAAUCACCUCCAGCUAGCACGGUCUUCCUGUCCGGCCAGCUGCUGUGCUACUGAAUCGACAUUUAAGAGAUGCCGUUCAUAUACCCAGCCCCAGCGGCAGCAGAUAGAGCUGGUUGGAAAGAUCCCAGAGCAAAACUCUGAAUUAAGCACAGAGUGCACAGCAUAUUUUUAUUUUGACACUUGACACGGACUCUGAAGAAAAAGCUUUCCACGAAUUAAAACGAAUUUUUCGCUUUGGCAGUUUGGAAAGGGGAGGUCCUGGCCAGUGAAGGCACUCUUAAUAUUCCGGUAGCUGACUGGACGGCAGUGCAGAUCAGUAAGGAAGACGAGGAGACCCUGGCUGCCGCUUCCGGAAAGACUUUGAGCCCCUAUGACUUACUCUGGAUGAACUAAACACAAGGUAA